CUUCCCUCCACAAUCCAGUAUCUAUGACCUUAAAAGGCAUCACAAAAGAGUUCUUAGCUACAAAAUCAGAAGACAUAAAUCUAGUUCCCUCUCGAUCGCUUUGUGGCUAUGAGAUCAUUGAGAUUAGAGAAGAAAAUGGAUCUGGCCAAGGACAUACAACUAAGAAAUGGCGGUGCCACAGAUGGAGAAACUGACACUCAGACAGGCCAACUGAUCUGCCCACAUCAACGAGCUAAAAAAAUGGCAAGGCCAGGAUUUGGCCCUAGGCCUGCUUAACUCUGAAGACCAUGUGCCCAGUCUCCUGCCAGGCCAUUUACAUCCUCAGGAGGAUUGCUGCAGCCCCAGGACAGGCGAUUGCCUUUUACCACCCUCCUGCCAGACCACACUGCUGCUGUCCCUGCUCCUGUACCCCACUUUUGCUGGGUUGAAAAGGUUGAAAGGGGUACCCCACUGCUGCUGUACCCCACCCCAAAUUUGCAAAAUGAGAAUAAGAACAGUAUCUACCUUUUCAGGAUCUUGUAAGAGUAAAUGAGUUAAUAUAGGUAAAGACCUCAGAACAGUGACUGGCACAUAGAGAAUCCUAUUUAAGUGGUGGGUUAAAAACAAAUCAUGUAAGUCAUGUAAAGCUGCACCUGUGGCGCGCUCUAAGGACAGAACGGCAGCUGCCGGUGGACCUCAUCCGCUCUCUAAGGGAGUCAGGCUUGACCUGAGCCCUGAAGGAGGAGUAGAGGUUAAGUGAGUGGCAAAGGAACCAGUAUGAACAAAAGCUCUGUGGCAGGAGGAACUAAAGAAGGAAGAACUAGCACAGAGGGAAGAAAACUCCAGGCUCAGGGAAAGAAUGACAAAAAAUAAGGCUGGGUAGGAGGGUGGGAACCUGAUUAGAAAAGGCCACUCACUAACUGAGUGAUUUUGGACAAGUCACCUUAUCUCUCUGAGCCUCACUUAGCUCAUCUGCAAAACAGAAAUAAACACAGUACCUAUCAUAAGGUUGUUAAAGGGACU
rnacentral:lncRNA from 10 species